UUGGUGCAGAAAAUCCUUUUUUCCGGAACCUUGAAAACAAAGUUAAUUUGAUAUAUAUAUGGACGAAAAGGUUAUCCGCUAAUCAAUGCUUUGGAGCAUAAUCGAACAGUCCAAAGAGAAAACUUAUCACCUAGAAAUUUAUCCGAAACAAGUUCUGCCAUUGGACAUUUGGCUGAACGAAUCGAAAAACGAUGGCCAACUUUUUCUUUACGACUGUACGUAUGAUGCAUUUGUGGAACGAUCACGCAGUAAUGCGUAACAUGAUGUGCAUGAUGCGGUUUGCGGAACGCAGCCCAAAGUAAUUCUUGGAUCUGGCAUACAGAACGAAGUUUUAAAUGCAUUAAUUACUGUAUAUCAGACUAAUAAUUACAAAAAUUUCUCUAAGGCUAAAGCAUGUAAAAAUAUUUCACACAAUAAGGUCGAAACAACAGAUGUUAUGACUCAGGAAAUAGGAAUAAAUGCAAGUAAUGGA